CUGGCUCAGGAUGAACGCUAGCGGCAGGCUUAACACAUGCAAGGUCGAGGGGCAACGCGAGUAGCAAUACUUGGCGGCGACCGGCGCAAGGGUGCGUAACGCGUGAGCAACAUGCCCGUAUCAGGGGGAUAAUCCAGGGAAACUUGGUCUAAUACCCCAUAGUAAUUUUGUAAGGCAUCUUAUAAGAUUUAAAGCUUUGGUGGAUACGGAUUGGCUCGCGUGACAUUAGCUGGAUGGUAAGGUAACGGCUUACCAUGGCUAUGAUGUCUAGGGGUUCUGAGAGGAAGGUCCCCCACACUGGAACUGAGACACGGUCCAGACUCCUACGGGAGGCAGCAGUGAGGAAUAUUGGACAAUGGAUGGAAAUCUGAUCCAGCCAUGCCGCGUGAAGGAAGAAGGUCCUAUGGAUUGUAAACUUCUUUUGUAUGGGAGCAAUAAGGCCUACGUGUAGGUUGAUGAGAGUACCAUACGAAUAAGCACCGGCUAACUCCGUGCCAGCAGCGGC
rnacentral:rRNA from 1 species